GAAGCCCGCCAGGCCGCCGCUGGUGCAAUCUGAAAAGACGACGCUUGCGUCGGGCCGAAAGGCCGCACUGGAGGAACGUCCGGACUGCACAGGGCAGCGUAGGAGCUAACGGCUCUCCACCGCGAGGUGAGGAUCAGAGCAACAGAGACGAGUCCCGGGGGAGUGCCGCAAGGUAGACCACCGGGGGUGAAACGGGCAAUCUCUACGCGCAGCAAUACCAAAUAGGCCAGCCACGCAAGCAGGGCAACCUCUUGCGACCUUGUGGCUCCGCAAGGAGAGCUGGCGGGUAGGUAGCACCGAGCCGUCUGGCGACAGACGGCCCAGAGGAAUGGCGGUCACACCGGGGGCGACCCCGGUGCACAGAAUCCGGCGUAUCGGCGGGCUUCACAC
rnacentral:RNase_P_RNA from 2 species